rnacentral:rRNA from 1 species
UACGAAGGGGGCUAGCGUUGUUCGGAAUUACUGGGCGUAAAGCGUGCGUAGGUGGUGAGUUAAGUCUGUCGUGAAAGCCCCCGGCUCAACUGGGGAGGGUCACGCGAUACUGGUCGACUCGAAGGCAGGAGGGGGUAGUGGAAUUCCCGGUGUAGUGGUGAAAUGCGUAGAUAUCGGGAGGAACACCAGUGGCGAAGGCGACUACCUGGCCUGUUCUUGACGCUGAGGCGCGAAAGCUAGGGGAGCAAACGGG